UACAGAGGGUGCAAGCGUUAAUCGGAAUUACUGGGCGUAAAGCGUGCGCAGACGGUUGCGUAAGUCAGAUGUGAAAGCCCCGGGCUCAACCUGGGAAUUGCAUUUGGAGACUGCGUAGCUAGGGUGCGGAAGAGGGAAGCGGAAUUUCCGGUGUAGCGGUGAAAUGACGUAGAUAUCGGAAGGAACACCAGUGGCGAAAGCGGCUUCCUGGUCCAGCACCGACGUCAGGCACGAAAGCGUGGGGAGCAAAC
rnacentral:rRNA from 1 species